GGAGGGAUGCCCGAGUGGCCAAAGGGACCAGGCUGUAAACCUGGCGGCUUUGCCUUCGAAGGUUCGAAUCCUUCUCCCUCCA
rnacentral:tRNA from 1 species